UGCUGAGGCUCAGUCUCAGUGAACCCACAUGUUUACACAGGUGCAGUGCGACACCUAGCGGCCACAUUUGGCGGCUUUUCCUCCUCCACAGUCAACAUGGAGCCGCUGCUGCUGCAGAGUGAAUCUGUUAUUAAAAUAUCUCAUCUCCUCCCGAAAUCAACGGCACUGAACACAGUGAUAUGUGCACUCAGGAUUUAUCUGGAUAUUAUCAGUAUUUCUUUAUUUUUGUUGGUCUGUCUGCUGCCACCUGCUGGAAUAAAGCAGCACUGCAGACUGAAGACUCAGGUCGAGGCCAGAACAGUCAGAGGAAAAGUCUUCAAGCAACAAACUGAAAGUUCUUCAGCAACAUAUUCAUGUGGUCAGUGGAUUCAGCUUUAUUGAUGAAGUCGAACAGCUGUUGUGUUACAGAGAUGGUACAGACAUUACAAAGUUAGAGCUCAGCUCUAAACAUCAGAAACAUCUAACAACUGAACACCACAAUGAUGACAUGGACUCUGGGUCAGGGUAGAGGUAGAGCAGGGAAGUGAGAUCUGAUCACAUGUAGAGACUCAUUUUAAUACCAGGUGUAAACUGACGUACUUGUGACCGAUCACCUAAGACCCAUAAAGACCAAGUCUGAACAGGACCACAGACUGGAUCAGGACUGGUUGUGUAAUCAGUGGUUGUUUCCAUGAAUAACCACUGUAAAUACCAUCCGACCAGCAGCUUCCUUAAGACACGUUUUUUCCUAAGAAGUUACAAAAACUACAAGCUGUGUGUACAGUAGAGUUGUAGUUGUUAUGACAGCUCUGUACACCUGACACAGGUUAUUUUGGAAUAAAUGUAAAAUUAGUCUAAAAUAACUUCAGUUAAGAAACCUGUGUGUUCUCUAGACUGCUCUUCAGUUCAACAUUCAUUUUGUCAGGUUCAAUCAUGAUGGAGUCCGACAAAUAAAAAUCAUGUUUUGAACUGAUGAUGGUCUAUAAAAAGUCUGAGAAUCACCACUGACACUCUGCUCAACCCCCUCAAAUUCAAAGACGCCUCUGACGCCCAACUUACUGCUUUUUCCUUUCAGGACCACAUUAUGUUUGGGUGGAUGGACCUCUGUCCAUAUACGGCCAGCCAAACGCCCACAUCAUAGAAGGAUAGCAGAGUGUGUGGAGACAAACUGAAGAGGCUGUGGACUCAACCCAAGACUCAAGAAGAAGUAAAACCAAUAUGUAGUAAGUGUAAAAUAAUACAAAGUAGAGCUGCUGUUUCUUCAGAUUUUUGUUGGUUUCUUUAUUUCAGGAAGAUUAUGGAUCAUGAAACAUCACAAUUUAUCAAAGCAGUUUCCCAUUAUGAUGUGAAGACCCUCCAGAAUACCCACAAUUCUCAUUGCUCAUCACAGAUUACUACUGAUUCAAUUUCACACGUUUCUGUUCCCAAGUCAAUUAUGGAGGCAAAGAGAAUGCAAAGUAACUCUAUACAAAUAAUGUCUGGAUAUUUCUUCUUCUUCUUCUUCCUGGUAUAAAAAUAAGUUCUAAGUGCUUCACACACUUUAAUACUGUCUCUGCUUUGGCAUGUUCACAGCUCAGAUGUCAGCACGUGUCGUCAGUUGUAAAACUCCAGAAACAUUUAAAGAAACAAAUCAAAAAAAGAAACAUCAGGUUGGACUGAAUGAUCUGUGCCGUUGUACUUGUAAUCACCACUAGGAGGUGCAGUUUUUCCACUAAGUUUCAAGUCAUCCAUCCCAUUCUUGUGAACGCAGUAUCUCAAAUUCCCAAACUCAAAUUUGGUACAGAUGUUCACGGACUGAAAGAUGACUGGAACAGAUUUUAGUAGUCAAAGGUCAAAGGUCACUGUGACGUCAUAAAACAUGUUUUUGGCAAUAGGUUAAGAAUUCACAUGCUAAUUACCUGCAACUGAUGGAGGCACACUACAGGGAGGAGGUCAUUCUAGUUUUCAUUUUGACUCAUUCUUUCAAAUCAAAAGUUAGAAGUUGCAGAUUUUUAUUUGAAGCCUCUAAACAGAAAAAGGUUUCAAUGAGGAAACAGAUUUAGAUUUUUAUUGGCUCAGUUUGGUUGAUUUUUCUUUCUUUUUUUUUAAAAUGUCAAAUCCACAACUGAAUUCCUGCAUCUUAUUUGUGACCAUCACUAAGAGGCACAGACCUUUGGUUUGGUGCAUAUGUGCAGAUAUUAUAUUAAAAAUUUGAUAAUGGUAAAAAACAUGUUAACAAAGAUAUUCUGGGGUUUUACUGAAAAAUCCGAAGACGAAGUUAGUUUUAGGAUUGUAGGAUUGUUAGUGGAAUAAACAAAACACAACAUGAACAUGAAAAUACUGAAAAAUGGAAAAGAAAAAUCAGCCAAAGGGAAACUCCCCAUGUGACAUUAGCUGCGUUUCCAUCCACUUGUUUUUAUACAUUUUAAUUUGCGCAAAAAAAAAAAUCUAAAUACCGCAAAAAAAAAGUUGACUCAUCAAAAAAAAGAAAAUGCAACAAAGUGCAACGGAAACAGAGUCAGUGAAAAAACACUGAUGUCCGUGAAGCAUGAAGAGAGGAAAACUUCAGAUCUGUAUGGAGCGAUGAGGGGACUGAAUCAGUUUUUCCAUCGUCUGAGCUUUGACUGGAGCUCAUCUUGCUGUGUCCUCUUCUUCUAUGGUGGAAUUAGUGGCAGCGACUGGAGAAUCAGCUCCACCUGCCUUUUAUCUCAACAAA